rnacentral:rRNA from 1 species
UACGUAGGCAGCAAGCGUUGUUCGGAAUUACUGGGCGUAAAGAGUGUGUAGGCGGUGCUCUAAGUUCGGUGUGAAAUCUCCCGGCUUAACUAGGAGGGUGCGCCGGAAACUGGAGUGCUCGAGCGUGGGAGAGGAAAGCGGAAUUCCUGGUGUAGCGGUGAAAUGCGUAGAUAUCAGGAGGAACACCGGUGGUGUAGACGGCUUUCUGGACCAUAGCUGACGCUGAGACACGAAAGCGUGGGUAGCAAACAGG